CUAGGUGGUUCUAUUUGCAGCUGAUAACAUACCACCAUUGCAGGAGCUUACGUAUGACUAUGGCUAUGCGCUUGAUAGUGUUUUUGGCCCUGAUGGAAAGGUGAAAAGAAUGCCAUGCUACUGUGGUGCAGCUGAUUGUACGAAGCGCUUGUUCUAAAACAUUAAAACAUUCCAAGUGCUUGUUCCACCUUCUGUGGUUCUUAUGCUUUUCUUAGCCAAGCAAAUUUUGUGGUAAUGUGCUAUUGCGUAAGCUUGUCUGUUCCUGUAAUCUUGUCUCUGCCGUGACAGGUUUGAUACAGUAGGUUAGAUUCUAUAGCCAGAAACGGAGAGGGAAAGCAAAUAGGUUCUGUUGUGAAAAUCAAAGAAGUGCACGUCGUUUGUCGGCUAAGGAAGUUUUGUGUAUUU